rnacentral:lncRNA from 1 species
UUUCUUGAUUACAAUUUAUCUUUUUCACUGGUUACAGUUAACAAAAUAAUUUGUGACCACCACCAACACUUGUGACCACUAGCUCACCACUGCCUCCAGAACCAUCACCACCGUUGUCGCUAGAACUAUCACCACCAUUUCCAAACCACCCCAAAACCAUCGUCUAUUGUCCUGUCUACCGUCGGCCAUAUCGAGUCACUGCCACACUGUCGACUACUAUAAUUUCACCAUCACCUCUCCAAAUCAACAAACAAACCACUAAUAGCCUCCAGCAAAAUCAAACCAAACUACAACACACCGUCCGCUUCACUCUACUGCCAUAUUUUUCGAUCUCUUAACUAUCACUGCCAGUCGCCACCUCCGCCCCACAUCAACCCAUGGAAACCACCGUCAUCGACACCUCCUCAACAACAACCACAACCACCUCACACGCCACUACGCUGAUUUUCAACCUAAAUCUUCCUAUUAACAAAAUAUGUAAAUUUUCAGAAAACAUUCAUUUCAACAACACGAAGAUUAAAGCUAGGUCAAGCAAUGUCGUCAGGUGUCGAUCACAAUUGUACUGCACCGUUCAUAGUGGCGAUGAUAGUCCAAUGAGGCAACGUUGUCGGGUGGAGAUUGCCGAUAGGGCAAAAGAUGCGGUUUUUGAUGAUGCAUGGAGCGAAAGAGGUAUAGUAACACAACGCUAGAUGGAGAUCAGAGUUGUAUCAUGCUUCUCGCAGGGGAGGUGACGGUCCCCUGCACACGGCAGUGCCUCAUCG